rnacentral:rRNA from 1 species
UACGUAGGGGGCAAGCGUUGUCCGGAAUCAUUGGGCGUAAAGCGCGUGUAGGCGGCUCGGUAAGUCCGCUCUGAAAGCCCGGGGCUCAACCCCGGGAGGCGGGUGGAUACUGCUGAGCUCGAGUCCGGAAGAGGAGUGUGGAAUUCCUGGUGUAGCGGUGAAAUGCGCAGAUAUUAGGAGGAACACCGAUGGCGAAGGCAGAUCUCUGGGCCGUAACUGACGCUGAGGAGCGAAAGCAUGGGGAGCGAACAGG